AGAGUUUGAUCCUGGCUCAGGAUGAACGCUAGCGGCAGGCUUAAUACAUGCAAGUCGAACGGUAAUUCCGAUACUUGUAUCGGGAACGAGUGGCGCACGGGUGCGUAACGCGUAUGCAACCUACCUUUAACCGGGGAAUAGCCCAGAGAAAUCUGAAUUAAUACCCCAUAAUAUACUGAUAUCGCAUGAUAAUAGUAUUAAAGUUUCGGCGGUUAUAGAUGGGCAUGCGUGACAUUAGCUUGUUGGUGAGGUAAAGGCUCACCAAGGCAAAGAUGUCCAGGGGUUCUGAGAGGAUUAUCCCCCACACUGGUACUGAGACACGGACCAGACUCCUACGGGAGGCAGCAGUAAGGAAUAUUGGGCAAUGGACGGAAGUCUGACCCAGCCAUGCCGCGUGCAGGAUGACUGCCUUAUGGGUUGUAAACUGCUUUUAUACGGGAAAAAACAUCCGAACGUGUUCGGAAUUGAUGGUACCGUAUGAAUAAGGAUCGGCUAACUCCGUGCCAGCAGCCGCGGUAAUACGGAGGAUCCUAGCGUUAUCCGGAUUUAUUGGGUUUAAAGGGUGCGUAGGCGGAACGAUAAGUUAGUGGUGAAAUCCUAUGGCUUAACCAUAGAACUGCCAUUAAUACUGCCGUUCUUGAGUACAGUUGUAGUGGGCGGAAUGUGUUAUGUAGCGGUGAAAUGCAUAGAUAUGACACAGAACACCGAUCGCG
rnacentral:rRNA from 1 species